rnacentral:rRNA from 1 species
CUCCGGCUCGACUCUCCCACCCUAUGUGUACCUACCUCUGUUGCUUUGGCGGGCCGCGGUCCUCCGCACCGGCGCCCUUCGGGGGGCUGGCCAGCGCCCGCCAGAGGACCAUAAAACUCCAGUCAGUGAACUUCGCAGUCUGAAAAACAAGUUAAUAAACUAAAACUUUCAACAACGGAUCUCUUGGUUCUGGCAUCGAUGAAGAACGCAGCGAAAUGCGAUAAGUAAUGUGAAUUGCAGAAUUCAGUGAAUCAUCGAAUCUUUGAACGCACAUUGCGCCCCUUGGUAUUCCGAGGGGCAUGCCUGUUCGAGCGUCAUUUCAACCCUCAAGCUCUGCUUGGUAUUGGGCCCCGUCCUCCACGGACGCGCCUUAAAGACCUCGGCGGUGGCGUCUUGCCUCAAGCGUAGUAGAAAACACCUCGCUUUGGAGCGCACGGCGUCGCCCGCCGGACGAACCUUUGAAUUAUUUCUCAAGGUUGACCUCGGAUCAGGUAGGGAUACCCGCUGAACUUAAGCAUAUCAAUA